AUUGAACGCUGGCGGCAUGCCUUACACAUGCAAGUCGAACGGCAGCACGGGAGCAAUCCUGGUGGCGAGUGGCGAACGGGUGAGUAAUAUAUCGGAACGUGCCCAGUCGUGGGGGAUAACGCAGCGAAAGUUGUGCUAAUACCGCAUACGAUCUAUGGAUGAAAGCGGGGGAUCGCAAGACCUCGCGCGAUUGGAGCGGCCGAUAUCAGAUUAGGUUGUUGGUGAGGUAAAAGCUCACCAAGCCUGCGAUCUGUAGCUGGUCUGAGAGGACGACCAGCCACACUGGAACUGAGACACGGUCCAGACUCCUACGGGAGGCAGCAGUGGGGAAUUUUGGACAAUGGACGAAAGUCUGAUCCAGCAAUGCCGCGUGCAGGACGAAGGCCUUCGGUUGUAAACUGCUUUGUACAGAACGAAAAGUACUUAAUAACACUAGAGGCUCAUGACGGUACUGUAAGAAUAAGACACCGGCUAACUACG
rnacentral:rRNA from 1 species